AAGCUCGUAGUUGAAUUUCGGGAUCAAUAUGUUGGUCGUGCCAUUGGUACGCACUGGCAUUAUUGGUUUCUACCUUCUGAAGAACCUCGAUGUCAUUAAUUUGGUGUCUUGGGGAAUCAGGACUGUUACUUUGAAAAAAUUAGAGUGUUUAAAGCAAGCUCGCGCUUGAAUACAUUAGCAUGGAAUAAUGAAAUAGGACGUUUGAUUCUAUUUUGUUGGUUUCUAGGAUCGACGCAAUGAUUAAUAGGGAUAGUGGG
rnacentral:rRNA from 1 species